UAAUUUUUUAACAAAUAAAGAAAACAACAUAAUUACAUUAUCAAAAAAUUAUACUUAACAACAAUGAAAUAAUAUUUCACGCGAAGCAAGGACACGUCCCUAGUGUCUUUAAAACUUGCGAUUAGCGCAUCAGAGACAACAACUUUCAAGGUUCAUACUUCCGUAGCAAGGCAAAAGGGGGGGGGGGGAGGGGGGGGUGUUGAGAUGAUCAUUUCUUAAUAAUUAUGCAUGCAUUAUUGUGAAAGCUCCAACCCAUUUCGCGUUUGGGUGAAGGGUCU
rnacentral:lncRNA from 1 species